rnacentral:rRNA from 1 species
CAGUAGCCACGGUAAUACAGAGGGUGCGAGCGUUAAUCGGAUUUACUGGGCGUAAAGCGUGCGUAGGCGGCUUCUUAAGUCGGAUGUGAAAUCCCUGAGCUUAACUUAGGAAUUGCAUUCGAUACUGGGAAGCUAGAGUAUGGGAGAGGAUGGUAGAAUUCCAGGUGUAGCGGUGAAAUGCGUAGAGAUCUGGAGGAAUACCGAUGGCGAAGGCAGCCAUCUGGCCUAAUACUCACGCUGAGGUACGAAAGCAUGGGGAGCAAACAGGAUUAGAUACCCGUGUAGUCCCUGUCUCUUAUAC